AUUGAAGAUUCGAACACGAAUUUCUGAAGAUUUGUCACCAUGGGUGCCUUAACUAUCAAUAGCUGUAAGCGUCGUAACGAUUAUCUUAACUUAAAUUAUGCGGACGGAGGAAGGCUUAAAGUCUAACUUUCGGAAGGACUCUCUGAGGAUUGCAGCUUAGAUGUACAACCUGUAAUUAAGUACAGACAAAAUGGCGUUAUCUUUUAACACAUGGAAGUAGAGAGAACUCAAUCACUCAUUCAGAACACCACCAAGCUGGUUGGAGAUUUCUUCUCCUGAGGUUGCUGUUGGAAUCCACAAAGACAAUAUUGAUCAUGUUCUAAAACAUAUCAUCUUAUGUCACGGCGUUGGUUUGCCCAUGCUUCUCCUACUCUUUUCAAUGCAAGGACACCAAGGCCUCAAUUGAGUAGAGGCUUCCAUGUGUGCAUGAUAGAGGACAAU